rnacentral:rRNA from 1 species
GACGAACGCUGGCGGCGUGCUUAACACAUGCAAGUCGAACGGAAAGGCCCUGCUUUUGUGGGGUGCUCGAGUGGCGAACGGGUGAGUAACACGUGAGUAACCUGCCCUUGACUUUGGGAUAACUUCAGGAAACUGGGGCUAAUACCGGAUAGGAGCUCCUGCUGCAUGGUGGGGGUUGGAAAGUUUCGGCGGUUGGGGAUGGACUCGCGGCUUAUCAGCUUGUUGGUGGGGUAGUGGCUUACCAAGGCUUUGACGGGUAGCCGGCUUGAGAGGGUGACCGGCCACAUUGGGACUGAGAUACGGCCCAGACUCCUACGGGAGGCAGCAGUGGGGAAUAUUGCACAAUGGGCGGAAGCCUGAUGCAGCAACGCCGCGUGCGGGAUGACGGCCUUCGGGUGGUAAACCGCUUUCGCCUGUGACGAAGCGUGAGUGACGGUAAUGGGUAAAGAAGCACCGGCUAACUACGU